CUGUGCUAAGUGGGGAGCUAGCGGUGCCCUGUGACCCGCAAUCCGCUAUAGCGGGACCGAAUGCCCUUAGCGGCGGUUGUGUGGAAAGUCUGACUUUGAUAAGGAAUGUUGAUAUCAAGGUCCCAUCCAAUGUAAAUCUGUGAACCAUGUCAGGACCGUGAGGGAGCAGCAUUAAGCAGACCAUUAUAUGUGCCAUGGGGAAGCUUUGAAGGAGUCACCUGUCAACAGUACCGUUUCGGCAGGACUGGUCAAUAAGGGAUGCACAG
rnacentral:SRP_RNA from 1 species